rnacentral:tRNA from 1 species
GCCCCGAUAGCUCAGUGGUAGAGCACUUCCAUGGUAAGGAAGGGGUCGUCAGUUCAAUCCUGACUCGGGCUC